rnacentral:rRNA from 1 species
UGACUGCGUACCUUUUGUAUAAUGGGUCAGCGACUUAUAUUCUGUAGCAAGGUUAACCGAAUAGGGGAGCCGAGGGAAACCGAGUCUUAACCGGGCGUUAAGUUGCAGGGUAUAGACCCGAAACCCGGUGAUCUAGCCAUGGGCAGGUUGAAGGUUGGGUAACACUAACUGGAGGACCGAACCGACUAAUGUUGAAAAAUUAGCGGAUGACCUGUGGCUGGGGGUGAAAGGCCAAUCAAACCGGGAGAUAGCUGGUUCUCCCCGAAAGCUAUUUAGGUAGCGCCUCGUGAAUUCAUCUCCGGGGGUAGAGCACUGUUUCGGCUAGGGGGCCAUCCCGGCUUACCAACCCGAUGCAAACUGCGAAUACCGGAGAAUGUUAUCACGGGAGACACACGGCGGGUGCUAACGUCCGUCGUGAAGAGGGAAACAACCCAGACCGCCAGCUAAGGUCCCAAAGUCAUGGUUAAGUGGGAAACGAUGUGGGAAGGCCCAGACAGCCAGGAUGUUGGCUUAGAAGCAGCCAUCAUUUAAAGAAAGCGUAAUAGCUCACUGGUCGAGUCGGCCUGCGCGGAAGAUGUAACGGGGCUAAACCAUGCACCGAAGCUGCGGCAGCGA